rnacentral:rRNA from 1 species
GUGCCAGCAGCCGCGGUAAUACGGAGGGCGCUAGCGUUGUUCGGAAUCACUGGGCGUAAAGCGCGUGUAGGCGGCUUCGUAAGUCGGAUGUGAAAUCCCGAGGCUCAACCUCGGAGGGUCAUCCGAAACUGCGGAGCUAGAGUCCCGGAGAGGGUGGUGGAAUUCCCGGUGUAGGGGUGAAAUCCGUAGAUAUCGGGAGGAACACCAGUGGCGAAGGCGACCACCUGGACGGUGACUGACGCUGAGACGCGAAAGCGUGGGGAGCAAACAGGAUUAGAUACCCUGGUAGUCCACGCCGUAAACGGGGGUGCUAGGCGUCGGGGGUAUUGACCCCUCCGGUGCCGCAGCUAACGCGUUAAGCACCCCGCCUGGGGAGUACGGCCGCAAGGCUAAAACUUAAAGGAAUUGGCGGGG